rnacentral:rRNA from 1 species
GGCGUCAGGACGAACGCUGGCGGCGUGCUUAACACAUGCAAGUCGAACGGGAGUAUUGAAGAAGCUUGCUUAGAGAUACUUUAGUGGCGGACGGGUGAGUAACGCGUGAGGAGCUGUCCUAUGCAGGGGGACAACAGCUGGAAACGGCUGCUAAUACCCCAUAAGCCGAGAGGUAAAAGGAUCAAUCCGGCAGAGGAGGUACUCGCGUCCUAUCAGCUAGUAGGUGAGGUAACGGCUCACCUAGGCGAAGACGGGUAGCCGGCCUGAGAGGGCGAACGGCCACACUGGAACUGAGAUACGGUCCAGACUCCUACGGGAGGCAGCAGUGGGGAAUAUUGGGCAAUGGGGGGAAAAACCCCCUGACCCAGCGACGCCGCGUGGGUGAAGAAAUCCUUCGGGAUGUAAAGCCCUGUUGUAUGGGAAGAGCGGAAGACGGUACCAUACGAGGAAGCCCCGGCAAACUACGUGCCAGCCGCCGC